rnacentral:lncRNA from 1 species
CAGCCCCUCUCUGGAAUUAUGCAACUGGCUCUGUGCAGAUGAGGGCUCCACAGGAAAAGUUAGUUUACUAAAAUCUCUGUAAAAUGUUGGGGUAUAAGAAGCAAUGAUUUGCUCCCCUCUACCACAGUAUAAUGAUGUAUUCUCCCAAAUUGUACCCCAGAACAUCCACAGCUCUGGUACGUUGGGACCUUCUCAACAACAGUGUUAGUGUCAGUGGAGGGACUUCAGUGCUCAGUGGGAGACAGCAGCAGGAGCCAGAGGAGGCAGCGGGACUUGCUCAGCAGACGCAAACAUACUCAGAAGGAGGGGAAGUCACAUUCAGCAAACGCUUCUGGGCCCUAAGGCAGCUGAGGUACCUAAAGAACACAGCAUCGUAGCCCAGCAUUCUACAUCAUCUCUGGGAGCUGUUAGUUCCUAUUGAGGAGGGGAGACAAGAAAGGCUUAAAGAUGAGAUGGAUACGAGAAUCAUUUCUUUUGCUUAAUGGUGUGGAUCCAAUCACUACUCUAAAAGAAUAGCUUCGCCCAGAAUUCUCAUUUCACUAAAAGUAUUUGAAUACGAU